AACGAACGCUGGCGGCAUGCCUAACACAUGCAAGUCGAACGAGACCUUCGGGUCUAGUGGCGCACGGGUGCGUAACGCGUGGGAACCUGCCUUUAGGUUCGGAAUAACUCAGAGAAAUUUGAGCUAAUACCGGAUAAUGUCUUCGGACCAAAGAUUUAUCGCCUUUAGAUGGGCCCGCGUUGGAUUAGCUAGUUGGUGGGGUAAGCCUACCAAGGCGACGAUCCAUAGCUGGUCUGAGAGGAUGAUCAGCCACACUGGGACUGAGACACGGCCCAGACUCCUACGGGAGGCAGCAGUGGGGAAUAUUGGACAAUGGGCGAAAGCCUGAUCCAGCAAUGCCGCGUGAGUGAU
rnacentral:rRNA from 1 species